rnacentral:rRNA from 1 species
AGGACGAACGCUGGCGGCGCGCUUAACACAUGCAAGUCGAGCGAGAACCAGGCCUUCGGGCCUGGGGAAAGCGGCGAACGGGUGAGUAACACGUGGGUAACCCACCCUUGGUACCGGGAUAGCCCGAGGAAACUCGGAUUAAUACCGGAUGGCCCAACAGCUUCUCGGAGCGGUUGGAAAAGGUAGCUUCGGCCUCCGACCAAGGACGGGCCCGCGGUGGAUUAGCUUGUUGGUGAGGUAACGGCUCACCAAGGCUUCGAUCCAUAGCUGGUCUGAGAGGACGAUCAGCCACACUGGGACUGAGACACGGCCCAGACUCCUACGGGAGGCAGCAGUGGGGAAUCUUGCGCAAUGGGCGAAAGCCUGACGCAGCGACGCCGCGUGGGGGAAGAAGGCUUUCGGGUUGUAAACCGCUUUCACCAGGGGCGAAGCGAGAGUGACGGUACCUGGGGAAGAAGCGCCGGCUAACUACGCGCCAGCAGCCGC